AUUGAACGCUGGCGGCAGGCCUAACACAUGCAAGUCGAGCGGAGCGGCGGACGGGUGAGUAAUGCCUAGGACUCUGCCUGGUAGUGGGGGAUAACGUCCGGAAACGGGCGCUAAUACCGCAUACUAUCAGAUGAGCCUAGGUCGGAUUAGCUAGUUGGUGGGGUAAAGGCCUACCAAGGCGACGAUCCGUAACUGGUCUGAGAGUAUGAUCAGUCACACUGAAACUGAGACACGGCCCAGACCCCUACGGAGGGCAGCAGGGGGGAAUAUUGGACAAGGGGCGAAAGCCUGAUCCAGCCAGGCCGGGUGGGGGAAGAAGGUCUGCGGAUUUUAAAGCACUUUAAGUGGGGAGGCGUGACCAACAGAAUAAGCACCGGCUAAUUUCGUGCCAGCAGCCGCGGUAAUA
rnacentral:rRNA from 1 species